rnacentral:rRNA from 1 species
GGAUGCAAUCAUACCAGCACUAAAGCAUCGGAUCCCAUCAGAACUCCGAAGUUAAGCGUGCUUGGGUGAGAGUAGUACUAGGAUGGGUGACCUCCUGGUAAGUCCUCGUGUUGCAUUCC